UGCAUGCGCUGGCUCAGCGGCAUGGCGCCGCGUUGCCGGGGCGGGGCAGGCAACAGCAGUCGCCUGCGGCAGCGUUAUUGCCGUUGCGCCUGCAGC
rnacentral:tRNA from 1 species